CUACGGGGUGCUCCAGUGGGGAAUAUUGCACAAUGGAGGAAACUCUGAUGCAGCAACGCCGCGUGGAGGAUGACACUUUUCGGAGCGUAAACUCCUUUUAUAUAGGAAGAAGAUGACGGUACUAUAUGAAUAAGCGCCGGCUAACUCCGUGCCAGCAGCCGCGGUAGUACGGAGGGCGCAAGCGUUACUCGGAAUCACUGGGCGUAAAGAGCGUGUAGGCGGAUUAAAAAGUCAGAAGUGAAAUCCUAUAGCUUAACUAUAGAACUGCUUCUGAAACUCUUAAUCUAGAAUAUGGGAGAGGUAGAUGGAAUUUCUAGUGUAGGGGUAAAAUCCGUAGAGAUCAGAAGGAAUACCGAUUGCGAAGGCGAUCUACUAGAACAUUAUUGACGCUGAGACGCGAAAGCGUGGGGAGCAAACAGGAUUAGAUACCCGAGUAGUC
rnacentral:rRNA from 1 species